CACACACAAGUUGCAGCCAACCCACGGCGAACGAACACACUGUCCCCCUCGGCGGGUCGCGGCGCCUCGCGGUGUCGCGGCCGGCCAUCUCCCGAGGUCGCGAGCUCCCAAACUCGCGGCGCCGGGGGGUAAUCUUUCACGAUGCGCCCACCCGACUGACUGAGUCCCUUAUGAGUGAGAAGUGCGAGCUCCGGCCCCCCUUCGCGGGGGGGUCGGCGCUGGUUACCUCGCGAGUUGAAAUAACCAAAAA
rnacentral:misc_RNA from 1 species